CGUUUCGACCGACCUCCAAAGGAGCGGAGCGUCCUUUUCGCUCCGCACGAUCUCCUCCUCUGCCUCGUCUUUGAUUAGUUCUUGCGCUAACCGCGAUCGGCGCAAGCGAUCGGGAAUCCGGGGGUGGCUUUCGUUUCCGCCGUAGGUUCCUGAUCCAGGGGGUCGCCGGCGACCGGUGGGCCGGCUGUGGGGUUAGGAUGAGGAGGUCGCCCAAGGUGGAAGCGGCGCUAUCCCUCGGCCGGAAGCGGUCGCUGCAGGUCAUGCUCGUCGCCUUCCUACUUUAUGUCGCACUUGUUUUCAUCUUCGAGCUUCCUUUCCUCUCCCACGGGAUUCCCCCCGCCCUCUCUUCCGCUGGGUAUGCUGCCGCCGGGAUCUUCGGUGGAGACGGACUGAGCAUCCCUCUGAACCUCGGCGCCGAGGAUCGUGCCGCGCCGUUUCGUCCUUUGCACGGAACCCGCCGCCUGGGUGGCUCCGCCGGGGGACCUGCAGGCAUCCGCCUCCCGUCGGAGCGGAGGAGGACGAUGUCGGUCUCGGGACUCGAUUUCCUCUUCGACAGUUCCUCCGUUGGCAGAGGGCCAUUCUCUGGACUUCACAAGGCCGCGUGGGACGCGUGGGAGGUUGGGCAGAAGCUGCUCAAGGAGCUUAAAGCGGUGCCUUUGGCGUGGUCUGUGGCCGCCAAGGAGAAUCGAACUCAGGAGAAGUGCCCGCACUCGAUAAUACUCUCCGGGGAAGAGUUUCUUCAACGGGGGAAGGUGAUGGUUCUCCCCUGUGGGUUGACGUUGGGUUCUCACAUCACCCUCGUUGGGAAGCCGUACCAAGCCCACGCGGAGUACGACCCUAAAAUUGCGAUUUUGAACGAAGGGGAGAAGCAGGUUAUGGUGUCUCAGUUCAUGAUGGAGCUGCAGGGGCUUAAGACGGUGGAUGGGGAGGAUCCGCCUAGGAUCCUCCAUUUCAAUCCUCGGCUGAAGGGCGAUUGGAGCGGAAAGCCAGUUAUUGAGCAGAAUACUUGCUACCGAAUGCAGUGGGGAUCUGCCCAACGGUGCGAGGGAUGGAAAUCCUUGUUCAAUGAUGAAACUGUUGAUGGGCUCGUGAAGUGCGAAAAGUGGAUACGUGAUGAUGACAACCGGAUGGAAGAGUCAACAGCAACAUGGUGGUUAAACAGAUUAAUUGGUCGCACAAAAAAGAUAUCUAUGGACUGGCCAUAUCCAUUUGUGGAAGACAAGCUGUUUGUUCUCACUCUCAGUGCUGGGUUGGAAGGUUAUCAUGUCAACGUUGACGGUAGACAUGUGACGUCAUUCCCGUAUCGCACUGCUUAUGUUCUUGAGGAUGCAACUGGUCUGUCAGUGAAUGGCGAUCUUCAUGUGCAUAAUAUUUUUGCUGGCUCAUUGCCAACAUCUCAUCCUAGCUUUGCUCCACAGAAGAACCUAGAAAUGUCAUCUGAAUGGCAAGCGCCACCACUUCCGGAUGGGCCUGUUGAACUAUUCAUUGGCAUACUUUCUGCAGGCAAUCAUUUUGCAGAACGGAUGGCUGUCAGGAAAUCAUGGAUGCGUGCAGUUAGUAAGUCUUCUGAUAUGGUGGCUCGGUUUUUUGUUGCUCUGCAUGGAAGGAAGGAAGUGAACUUUGAAUUGAAGAAAGAGGCUGAGUUCUUCGGUGACAUUGUAAUCGUGCCUUUUCUAGAUAGCUAUGAUCUUGUCGUUCUCAAGACCGUUGCCAUAUGCGAAUACGGGGUUCGCAUUGUUUCUGCUCGCUAUAUAAUGAAAUGCGAUGAUGAUACCUUUGUUAGAAUUGAUCCUGUGAUGAACAAAGUCAAGACAGUUCCCAUUGAGAAAAGUCUGUAUAUUGGUAACAUAAACUACCACCACAAGCCCCUACGAGAAGGGAAAUGGGCGGUUACAUAUGAGGAAUGGCCUGAAGAGGAUUAUCCACCGUACGCCAAUGGUCCUGGAUACGUUGUAUCGUCCGACAUUGCUCGUUUUAUAAUAUCUGAUUUUGAGAAACAUAAAUUAAGGUUGUUCAAAAUGGAAGAUGUGAGCAUGGGCAUGUGGGUUGAGCAGUUUAAUAAAUCCCGAACUGUCGAAUACAUUCAUAGUCUCAAGUUUUGCCAGUUUGGAUGCAUAGAUGACUACUACACUGCACAUUACCAGUCCCCAAGACAAAUGACCUGCAUGUGGGAUAAAUUGCAAGCAGGAAAGCCUCAAUGCUGUAACAUGAGAUGAGGAUGGCAUGAAUGAGCCGCAAUGAUGCAAAAAAGUUCAUUAACGGUUUGAUCCACUUCGGUAGGCAGUUAAAGGCUAGUCAUGGAAAAGCAGCCCUGCCGAGCUGAGUUACAACCGAAACUGCAUCGUCGACGUUGUAAUGCCUUGAUGAAGUUGCGGCAGCUUUAGAAUCAACAUGUUCUUCUCAGAUUUUGUAGUUUAAACUCGGUAGCACCAGGCACACUGCCAUGACACAGAAUCAACAUGUUCUUCUAUAUGGUUGAACUUGUAUCAUAUUUUGAUUACCUCUGAUAACUACCACCUUCUUAUUCCUAUGAGUUGCUAAUGUAAUCUUUAGCAUCUUGCUGAAGAUCCUAAUUUUGUGAAUAAUCUACGACUUCGGGUUUGUUUCAUUUA